rnacentral:rRNA from 1 species
AUUGAACGCUGGCGGCAGGCCUAACACAUGCAAGUCGAGCGAGCGGCGGACGGGUGAGUAAUGUAUGGGGACUGCCCUAUAGAGGGGGAUAACUACUGGAAACGGUGGCUAAUACCGCAUACUAUCGGAUAACCCAUAUGUGAUGAGCUAGUAGGUGGGGUAACGGCUCACCUAGGCGACGAUCUCUAGCUGGUCUGAGAGGAUGAUCAGCCAAACUGGGACUGAGACACGGCCCAGACUCCGACGGAGGCAGCAGUGGGGAAUAUUGCACAAUGGGCGCAAGCCUGAUGCAGCCAUGCCGCGGGUAUGAAGAAGGCCUUAGGGUUGUAAAGUACUUUCAGCGGGGAGGCGUUACCUGCAGAAGAAGCACCGGCUAACUCCGUGCCAGCAGCCGCGGUAAUUC